rnacentral:rRNA from 1 species
UACAGAGGGGGCAAGCGUUGUUCGGAAUUACUGGGCGUAAAGGGCGCGUAGGCGGCCUGUUAAGUCGGACGUGAAAUCCCUCGGCUCAACCGGGGAACUGCGUCCGAUACUGGCGGGCUUGAAUUCGGGAGAGGGAUGUGGAAUUCCAGGUGUAGCGGUGAAAUGCGUAGAUAUCUGGAGGGACACCGGUGGCGAAGGCGGCAUCCUGGACCGACAUUGACGCUGAGGCGCGAAAGCCAGGGGAGCAAACGGG